rnacentral:lncRNA from 1 species
GGACCCCCAGGUGUGAGGGAAAGAGGGAGAGAGGGGGGAGGUGAGUGUGCAACGGGGUCCAGGUGUGCAAUGGGAUCUCAGUGUGCAACAGGAUCCAGGUGUGUAACGGGAUCCGUGUGUGCCAAGGGAUCCGAGUGUGCCACGGGAUCUGGACUUGAGACUGUGAAAGGAUCCGAGUGUGCAACGGGAUCUGAGUGUGCAACGGGAUCCGAGUGUGCAACGGGAUCUGGACAUGGGAAUGUGAUGGGAUCCAAGUGUGCAACGGGAUCUGGACACGGGAAUGUAACAGGAUGUGAGUGUGCAAUGGGAUCUGAAUGUGUAACAAGAUCCCAGUGUGCAACGGGAUCCAAGUGUGCAAAGGGAUCCGAGUGUGCAACGGGACCUGGAUGUGGGAAUGUAACGGGAUCCAGGUGUGCAACAGGAUCCGAGUGUGCAACAGGAUCUGAACUUAAGACUGUGAAAGGAUCCGAGUGUGCAACGAGAUCUGGGUGUGCAACGGGAUCCCACUGUGCAACAGGAUCUGUGUGCAAAAGGACCCGGAUAUGGGAGUGUGAGAGGAUCUGA